rnacentral:rRNA from 1 species
GACGUAGGGGGCCAGCGUUGUUCGGAAUUACUGGGUGUAAAGGGUGCGUAGGCGGCGCGGUAAGUCGGGUGUGAAAUUUCGAGGCUUAACUUCGAAACUGCAUUCGAUACUGCCGUGCUUGAGGACUGGAGAGGAGACUGGAAUUUACGGUGUAGCGGUGAAAUGCGUAGAUAUCGUAAGGAAGACCAGUGGCGAAGGCGGGUCUCUGGACAGUUCCUGACGCUGAGGCACGAAGGCCAGGGGAGCAAACGGG